rnacentral:rRNA from 1 species
GCCAGCAGCCAUAUCACUCUACAACUCACAACUGGCAACCCACUGAAGCUCAGCAGGUGUGAGCCUGGUCAGUACCUGGAUGGGAGACUCCUGGGAAAAACUAAGGUGGCUGCUGGAA